CGAAAGUUCUUUCUGUUUUAUGCAGUCGAGCGGUAACAGGAAGAAAGCUUGCUUUCUUUGCUGACGAGCGGCGGACGGGUGAGUAAUGCCUAGGGAACUGCCCAGUCGAGGGGGAUAACAGUUGGAAACGACUGCUAAUACCGCAUACGCCCUACGGGGGAAAGGAGGGGCUCUUCGGACCUUUCGCGAUUGGAUGUACCUAGGUGGGAUUAGCUUGUUGGUGAGGUAAGAGCUCACCAAGGCGACGAUCCCUAGCUGUUCUGAGAGGAUGAUCAGCCACACUGGGACUGAGACACGGCCCAGACUCCUACGGGAGGCAGCAGUGGGGAAUAUUGCACAAUGGGCGAAAGCCUGAUGCAGCCAUGCCGCGUGUGUGAAGAAGGCCUUCGGGUUGUAAAGCACUUUCAGCGAGGAGGAAAGGUUAACGGUUAAUACCCGUUAGCUGUGACGUUACUCGCAGAAGAAGCACCGGCUAACUUCGUGCCAGCAGCCGCGGUAAUACGAGGGGUGCAAGCGUUAAUCGGAAUUACUGGGCGUAAAGCGUACGCAGGCGGUUUGUUAAGCGAGAUGUGAAAGCCCCGGGCUCAACCUGGGAACUGCAUUUCGAACUGGCAAACUAGAGUCUUGUAGAGGGGGGUAGAAUUUCAGGUGUAGCGGUGAAAUGCGUAG
rnacentral:rRNA from 1 species